CAUAAAUGCGACGUCUACAGCUACGGGAUCUGCCUUUGGGAGGUGUACUGCUGCGACAUGCCGUACGCGGACCUGAGCUUCUCGGAGGUCACGUCCGCUGUUGUUCGUCAGAACCUGAGGCCGGAGAUCCCGCGGUGCUGCCCGAGCGCCUUUGCGAACGUGAUGAAGCGGUGCUGGGACGCGAACCCCGACAAGCGGCCGGAGAUGGCGGAGGUGGUGACGAUGCUGGAGGCGAUCGACACGUCCAAGUGCGGGGGCAUGAUCCCCGUGGACCAGGCGCGGGGCAUCGGGUGCCUCUCCUGCCUCAGGCCGCGCAGGGGGGCCUGA
rnacentral:rRNA from 1 species